GAAACAGUUUUAAUUUUUCGUUGCAUAAGCAAAACAUCCCCAUAAAACAUUCACUUUUCAAAAAUCUUUAUAUACAAGUAACUGUGGAAGGUGGAGGAAAUAACUAAAAACACCGCCACUACCAACACAACAGCUCCUAACAGUAGGCCAGGUCAGGGUGCAGAAUUCAUGAAAACAAGCUGCUCACAUUCCCAGAACCACAACCCCCAGUGAGGAAUCUUGUCCUCUUUAACUUGCUGGGUGGCAGAGCCCGGAGGAAUUACUCAAACUAUGAAAAUCCCAAAGCAUGGUCACCUAGGGGGAAGUGAGGAGACAGAUAUGACUUGAGCAUGACAAUUAUUUUCUUAUAAUAACAGUAAAGAAAACAACCUUAAGUGGUAAAGGCUCUUUGAGCUCCAACAAACAAGUAGCUAAUGGUAUUUACCAAACCUAGCAUUUGUUAGCUAAGGCAGAACAUACACUGUACAUGUGCCUUUUUUCUUUCAAACAAUAUUCUUUAAUGCACUCACAUUUAUUGAUUAUAGAUACAUGCAAGUGGUAUAUAAAUAAUAAAACAUAGCAAACACCAGACAUACUGUUCUAGGUACCUUCAUGUAGUUUAUUUCACUUAAUUCUCACAAUAACCCUAUGAGGUUAUGAGAUCCAUUAUUAUUCAUGAUUUACAAAAGAAAAAAAAAAAACUAAGUCAUAGGGAAGUUUAAUUAUUUGACCAAAAUCAUACAACUAGAAUGCAAAACUAGGUACUUUGUCUCCAGAGCUCUUGCUUUUAAUUUAGCUCUAGUUCUCUCGUGAAAUUGGAUUUUUAACCCCAUUAUCACAGAACUAUUCUUCCAAGACUGUAAAUUCUACUUCUCUGGGAACUUCCACCUCUUUGACUCACUUUUACCUUUGCCUCCCAAUUCCUUCUGGUUUCACCUGUUUUCCUGUACAACCUGGACCCCCUAGUCAUUUCAACUAUGCCCAAACUCCUUCCCAGGCCUCUCCUACACAGUCAAACCAAGGUGGUCACCUGUACCUGCCACCUUCGUCCCACCUCUGCACCCAGCAGUGAAGUACCACUGCUGAUGCAAUGAAGAGUUGUGCUGCCUCUUGGUCAGUGGGCCUUCCCUGCUGCUUGGCAGUCCUCUCUUGGGCAGUGCACAGCAUCCACUGCAGCUGUUCCAAACUUCUUCCAGGAUUAAAUCCCCCAAAGCACCUUGCUAGUCCUUUGUAGGUUAUCUUACCAUGGCUUUAUUUAAGUCAACCAAAAUAGGGCUGUCAGAUUAAGACACAGGAUGCCUGGUAACAUCUGAAUUUCAAAUAAAAAGGAAUCAUAUUUUGGGAUAAGUAUGUCCAAAAUAUUGUAUGAUAGAAAUAUUUAAAUAGUAUUUAAACUAAUAAAAAUAGCCAACUAUGUACUGAGAGCCUACCAAAGAUUGUAUGCAGGUACUUAAUACUAAAAACUUAUUCAUUGUUUAUCUGAAGUUUAAAAAAUUACUGGACAUCCUGUAUUUUAAUUUGCUAAAUAUAAUUCAGUCAAAUGCCCCUUCUUUCCAUUCCCAGAAGUACUGUUCCUUUUUUCAAAAGUUAAUUCUCUGACCUAUGGUAGUGAUCUUUCUUCUUCAUUUUCUUCUUCAUCCUACAAAUUCUUUAUACUUUUCAAACAUGCUCCAGUCAUCCCUACCAUGGUAUUAAUGGUUCCACUUCUUCACCCCUUCAUGUCACUUUGUCAUUUCUCUAAAGAGGUGAAUUCUGUUUCCCUACCCCUUGAGUUUUACUUGGUCACAUAACCUGCUCUGGCCAACAGAAUGAGACAGAAGUGCCAGUGUGUCAGUUUGGAGUCUCGACCUCAAGAAGCCUUAUAUGUUUCUGCUUACUACUUAAAACUCUUCUUCAGGACAAGAGAAACAAAACAAAACCAUCUGUAAAAAACAAAAACAGUAAUUUGAAAAGAUACAUUCACCCCAAUGUUCACAGUAGCACUAUUUACAAUAGCCGAGAUAUGGAAGUAACCUAAAUGUCCAUCAACAGAUGAAUGGACAAAGAGGGUGUGAAAUAUAUGCAUAUACAAUUACAAUAUAUAUAUACCAUUGUAUAUAUAUUUAUAUACACACAUAUAUAGAAUAUUACUCAGCCAUAAAAAAUGAAAUUUUCCCAUCUAUAGCAAUAUGGAUGAACUUUAGCAUUACACUAAAUGAAAUAAGUCAGAGAAAGCACUUAUAUGUAGAAUCUAAAAAAAUCCAACAAACUGGUAAAUAGAGUAAAAAAAUAGAAGCAGACUCACACAUAUGGAGAACAAAUUAGUGGUUACCAGCGGGGACAAGGACAAGAGAGGGGUAAUAUAAGCAUAAGGACGUUAAAAGGUACAAACUAUUAUGUAUAAAAUAAGCAAUAAGAAUAUAUCAUACAACACAGGGAAUAUAAACAAUAAUUUAUAAUAAUUAUAAAUGGAGUAUGGCCUUUAAAUAUGUGAAUCACUAUACUGUUCACUUGUAAUGUAUAUUAUACUUCAAUUUUAAAAAAUGCUGCAAUGGAGUUCCUGUUGUGGCUCAGUGGUUAGCGAAUCUGACUAGAAUCCAUGAGGACAUGGGUUUGAUCCCUGGCCUUGCUCAGUGGGUUCGUUAACUGAUGAGCCACGACAGGAACUCCAUCAUUAUUCUGUUCUUAAUGGGUAAGUGUAUUUUAUGAAAGAGAGAAGCUGCCUCUAAAUUAUAAAUAACAGCUUGCAGUUACUGAGUGCUUAAUCAGUUCUGAGAUCUAACUCACUUAAAUUCUCUAAUUCAAUGCUCACAACAACACUGUGAGGUAGGAACUAGUUAUCAUCUAUAUGUAACAGAUGGGAAAACUGAGGGACAGAAAGUAAUUUGCCCAAAGUCACAGAGCUGGUAAUUAGGGAAACUGAGCCAUAGAGACUAAACUCUUAACCAGCAUGCUAUGCUGCUAUUCGAGAAAUGAACUAUACAUACAAACAUGCCCAUCACUGUUUCCUAUCCACACAGCACUGCUUUCCCUGCUACUUUAGGGAGAGAAAAGGCUGUGUUUUUAGAAAUUUGUAGGAUCAGAAAUGAUGGAAAGAGGAAGCUGGGAAAGCAAGAAUGAAAUGACUCAAAUGAGCUGGGCCUAACACCCUUGGCCCUGACUUAGAACAACUAGAGACUACUUAGAUUUACAAAGCCCUCUAAAAAGGGUAACUGUCCCUAGGAGUAAUUUCCCUUCAGUUAUCACUUCAUUCCAUAAUAUCUGAGACAUGCUCUUUUUGACUGAUCAAAUAUUAAUUUUAAAAGUAUUAGAAAUAUACCUUUUUGGAUGAGCUAGACACAAAACUACAAAGUAAAACAGGAAAGUAAGCACAAAAGCCAAGUUAGAGAGUCAGAGAGAGGGUAAUUAUAAUUGAAAUGAUUCAGUCUGGAAAUCCUGUUGUGGAUCAGCCAAAACGAAUCUGACUAGCAUCCAUGAGGACACGGGUUCGAUCCUUGGCCUCGCUCAGUAGGUUAAGGAUCUGGUAUUGCCAUGAGCUGUGGUGUAGGUCGCAGAUGAGGCUUGGAUCCUGAGUUGCUAUGGCUGUGGUAUAGACCAGCAGCUACAGCUCUGACUCAACCCCUAGCCUGGGAACCUUCAUAUGCCUCGGGUGCGGCCCUAAAAAGAUUAAAAAAAAAAAGAAAUGAUUCAGCCUAAUACUAAUUUUGGGUGUAUAAAGAAUUUAUAACAUAUAACACAUCUUUGGCAUAUGGAGCAUGAGGUUUAGAUGGUAGAGACUAAUACAUUACAAGGAUAAACUUCCCUUCCGCACAGUACAGACAGAGAGUAAUCUACCCGAAGUUGGUGGUCCUGAAUUUACACUGUUAAAUGCCAAUCUGCACGGCACUUAUUUUUUCUAUCUGGGCACAAUGAGCAAUCUGGGAGCAGACAUCCAGUUAGAUCUUGUACUUCACCAGGUGAGUGAUAGCAGGGCAACAGGGCAAAAGGAGAUGUGGUUCCUGGUAAGAGAGUGGUAAUUUAAAAUAGAAUGUGGCUUGGAUAUGGCAUUGCUGUGGCUAUGGCAUAGGCCGUCAGCUGCAGCUCCAAUUCAGCCCCUAGCCUGGGAAUUCCCCUGUGCUGCAGGUUUGUGGUCCUAAAUUAAAUAAACAAAUAAAAAUAGAAUAGAAUGCAGUGGAGAUGAAAGAAGUAAAGGCAGGAGCAGGCAGAUGGGAGAAAAAAGAGAAGUCUAUGGACUGGAGGUCUCAAGCCAGAGAAACCUGAGAAGGGUGAGAGGCUGAAGCAGAGGAGGGAAGAGCACUGGAAAUAAGAUGUCAGGGAACUGAGAAUGG
rnacentral:lncRNA from 1 species